AAAAUAAUGAAAAAAAUGAUGUGUGGAAACAGAAAUCAGACCUAGAAAAUUCAGUCCCCCAUAAACGAGUUCUUUGGGUUUUGGAGAUAAAUAUGGCUGUAAAAAGAGUACUCUCAGUGGUCUUGACUUUUUGAUGUGUAGGGAAUACUUAAAAAAAUCUGGUUUAGGUUUAGUUUAUGAGGAUUUUCUCCCUCACGAAUAUAACUCUAUGCUUCCUUUCAGCAUUUGAAGUGAAGAUGGAGCCCUUAGGAGAAAUAUAUUGUAGCUCAUUUAUGAAGAACUUUCAUUUUAUGUCCUUCCUGAGUGAAGGAGAAACUCUCUGGAGCGCUUUCAGUGAGGAGUAAGUCUGAUGUCAUGUAAUAGACCACUAAGCGUAAACGACUCUUCCAGAAAGAGAAAGAAGUUGUGUAACUACCUGACUUUAUUCUCUGAGAAGCAAACCCAUGAAUCACAGCCGAGGCAGACACUCUUCAGCUCGCGUGUGAGACUCACAGAGGUGCUUCACAAUAACCAUCAUUACUCUUAAGUUCUCUGCCAUGUUGAGUUCACCUUCCCAUAGGCAGACAACAAGUAAACCAACAUGAUGAUUUCAGAUAGUGGUAAGUUCUCUGAAGAAGUAAACCUGGAAAGGGAAUCAAGAGUGAUGGUGGGCACAGGUGUGGGGGGACACUUUUUGAGAUAGGGUGAUCCCUCAGGGCAGGUCUCUCAUAGUCUCUGAAACAUCAGACUUGUAGUCCUUUUACUUGCAAAUAGUCCCUUCCGGGUGUCAUCAUGCAGUGAGCUGGGGAGGUGAUUAUAUCUGUGUGCUGAGGCCAGAGGUAUCAUCCUCUCAAUAAUUUCAGUUCAGUCAUUGGCAUGAAAAAGGAAGGAGACACUGUUGAUUUCAGGAAGAAAAAUGGGCUUGACUUUUUUCUGUAGAGAAAUUAUUGAUGUUUCCAGUGGCCUCUUCUGC
rnacentral:lncRNA from 1 species